rnacentral:tRNA from 1 species
GCCUGACUGGCUCAGUCGGAAGAGCACGUGACUCUUGAUCUUGGGAUCAUGAAUUCCAGCCCCACGUCAGGUG